rnacentral:lncRNA from 1 species
AUGUUUUCGUUAUAUAUAUUAUUUGUUCAUGUAUCUGUCAUUUUUUUUUACACCUUUUUUUUUUAAUUUAGGUCCUCUUAGUUAGAAAAUGGUAAUAACAGAAUAAAAUAAAAACAACAAAAUAAGUCACAGGCCACAUCAAUAAAUUUCAAACACAUACUAAAACGGGCAAUUUCUAAACAUCAAAACCAUACGAUGAUGAAAGGAAUUCACAAUCAAAAACGAACGCCUAAAUAAAAGCCCACUACCACACGGCAAAAAAGGGCCAACUAUUCUAAGUCCAAUAUCCCAUUAACCCAAAACCGAAGCAGUACACAGAAUUAAACAAUGAAACGAAAGCCCAAUAAAGACAUAAAAAAGCAACUACUGGAGAAGUUAUUCAGGCACUAUUAGAAAAAGAAAAUUCUCCACAUUUGAAUGCAUUACAUUAAAAGAGAGAAAGCAGUUUCAGAUUUCGCAUUAAUAUAUAUAUAUUACAAAAUGAGUGAAACCAAUCAGAAUUGGGAUAUGGUAGGGAUAUCCUCCAAGCAGAAUAGGGAAAAUUAACAAUAGCACAAAACUUAAAUGUGUACAGGAUCAAGAUUCUUUAUGACAAAACAGAAAAAUCCGAAGCAUGAUGUUCAAAAAACAUAAAAGCAGUUUCAGAUUUCGAAUUAAUAUAUAUAAUACAAGAUCAGUGGAACCAAUCAAUCUAGNNNN